rnacentral:misc_RNA from 1 species
CUGAGUUACCGCUCUAUAACCCUUUGUGAACAUACCUCAACUGUUGCCUCGGCGGGCAGGCGGCGGCGACGCCGCCUCCCCGGCGCCCCUCGGGGCGCGCCCGCCGGGGGAUAACCAAACUCUGAUUUAACGACGUUUCUUCUGAGUGGCACAAGCAAAGCAAUAAUCA